rnacentral:rRNA from 1 species
AUGGCCACCUGCCUCUCAGACAUGAUCAGUGACCAUUCCCUUGAUUUCCUGGGUUUGCAAGAAACUAUGAAAAAAGAGUUUACUCCUAAAUGCCUAAGGAGAAUCGAUCCCUUUGACAUUUUCCAGUGGAAUUGGGUGCCUUCCACAGGCAAAUCUGGAGGCAUCCUAUGCGGUACGCGGAGGGAUAAGUUUGAUAUAGUCUCUUGUACUAAGGGCAAAUACAUACUGCAACUAGUGUUGCAUGACAUACAAAAAAAGAUCCAGUGGGGUUUGCUGGUAGCCUAUGGAUCGGCACAUGAUGAAUUCAAAAAUGAAUUCCUAGUUGAGCUAGCUUCCUGUUGCAGUGGCAUGACCGUACCCUACAUAGUAGGAGGGGAUUUUAAUAUCCUACGACAUUCGGGAGAGAAGAAUAAGAAGAUGUCGAACAACAAAGCCACUGACUUGUUUAAUUCCAUCAUCAAUACACUAGCUCUUAGGGAAAUUCACAUCAGUGGAGGGAAGUAUACAUGGACCAAUAACCAGAAUUUCCCCACACUGGAGAAACUUGAUCGAAUUCUCAUGUCAGAAUGCUGGGAGGAUAUAUUUCCCCUGGUAUCUGUAAAGAAAUUAGUUCGUGAGAUCUCUGAUCAUAGUCCACUUUUGUUAUCCUCU